UACGGAGGGGGCUAGCGUUGUUCGGAAAUACUGGGCGUAAAGCGCACGUAGGCGGCGCAGCAAGUCAGGGGUGAAAUCCCGGGGCUCAACCCCGGAACUGCCUCUGAAACUGCAGUGCUAGAAUCUUGGAGAGGCGAGUGGAAUUCCGAGUGUAGAGGUGAAAUUCGUAGAUAUUCGGAAGAACACCAGUGGCGAAGGCGACUCGCUGGACAAGUAUUGACGCUGAGGUGCGAAAGCGUGGGGAGCAAACAGG
rnacentral:rRNA from 1 species